GACGUAGGGCGCGAGCGUUGUCCGGAUUUAUUGGGCGUAAAAGAGCUCGUAGGCGGCUUGUUGCGUCAGCUGUGAAAACCCGCAGCUCAACUGUGGGCUUGCAGCUGAUACGGGCAGGCUUGAGUUCGGUAGGGGAGACUGGAAUUCCUGGUGUAGCGGUGAAAAUGCGCAGAUAUCAGGAGGAACACCGGUGGCGAAAGGGCGGGGUCUCUGGGGCCCGAAAACUGACGCUGAGGAGCGAAAAGCGUGGGGAGCGAACAGG
rnacentral:rRNA from 1 species